GGGAAGGUAGCUCAGUGGUAGAGUACUUGCCUUGCAAGCCUGAGGCCAUGAGUUCGAUUCCUCAGUACCA
rfam:Dipodomys ordii contig_25837, whole genome shotgun sequence.